UACGUAUGGUGCAAGCGUUAUCCGGAUUUACUGGGUGUAAAGGGAGCGCAGGCGGCACGGCAAGCCUGAUGUGAAAGCCCGCGGCCCAACCGCGGGACUGCGUUGGGAACUACCGGGCUGGAGUGCCGGAGAGGUAGGCGGAAUUCCUAGUGUAGCGGUGAAAUGCGUAGAUAUUAGGAGGAACACCAGUGGCGAAGGCGGCCUACUGGACGGUGACUGACGCUGAGGCUCGAAAGCGUGGGGAGCAAACAGG
rnacentral:rRNA from 1 species